ensembl:lncRNA
GGUUUUAUGCCCUGGUUUCAUAUCAAUGUCAGCUGAAGUGUUUAAAGGCAGCCAGACUCAUAAGCCUAAUCCCCAAACGAAUGUUUGAAUGUGACCAUUUCCCCAUUGUUAAACUUUUGUACCAACAGCUGAUUUACAAGUCUGACACUUACGCAGACAUAUGCUUUGGCAUUCUGCAGGCUUCCUGAGACUCAUGCCCUCCAGCACUGCUUGUUGACCUCCCCUUCAAACUCAGGACAUUGAUGGACCAUCACAAUGGACAAACCACCCUGGACCUACAUGGUUGUAAAAGCUCUAGUCAUGGCCCCGUUGGAGUUUACAGCGAUGCAUUCUUUCACUGAGAGAUUAUAUUCUCCUGAGACCAAACCUUCUGCAGGUGUUCAGCUGUCAAGCUGCAUCUGCGUUUGUCUGUGACUUCCAGAUGUCAACCUGACCGAAGAGAAUGACUGUGCUGAACCAGUGGCCAUAUGCUCUGCCAAGCAGUGCUAAUGCAAGGAAAAGGAGGAGAGAGCAGAGCCAUCUUUUGUUCUCCAAUUAAUUCCUUCCUAUAUGAUGCAGGAAAAUGGACUUGUCGUGAAACCAAUGCAGAAAAUUGCUUCUAGAAGGAUCAGAGAAAUGGAAAAUCCAUCUCAUGAGAAGAGAAUUCGUAUCCCAGCUCACUGAAAUCGUGAGCAGAGAGGUUGGGUCUGCCUGUCCCCAUCAGUGCCAACUCACCCCACAAGAGUUUGGCUGGUUAGUCCCAGUGGAGCAGUGCCCGAGGGGGUAGGACUGCCCUUAAUUAUUUUAAAGGUCUUUUCUAAUCUAAUGAUUCUACAAUUCUUUAAUUCACAGAGAAGGGGGAGACAGGAUAACUGCCUCAGCAAAGAGACAAUGUUGGCACACCAACAAGCAGUGUAAAUAUGUUAUAGAUACAGUUAAGCUGAAAAUAUGAAUAAUUCUAUCCAUUAUAGCAGCAAGAUCCUGGAAGAGCUCUCACAAGUAAUGGAGGAAAACUGCAACAAAUUUUAAGGUGAUGCUUGAUUUUUCUGAACACAUCUGUGCCAGAGAGGUGUCUGAAACACCCACAGUUGCCCCAUAAGACCCCAUCCUGAAAAUCUCUGUUCACUGUGAACUGCAAACCAAAAUCCAAUUGAAAUCAGAAAUUUAAUUAAAAGCAGCACUUCUGAGCCAGCUGCUGCCAGGCAUUACGCUGGUAAAAAGUGACAGCUGCUUCAUUGGCAGUGCAAUGUCAACAACUGUAGAAGAGGCCAAGGAAUAGACAUGGACCAAAACUGCUCAAGGAUCAGCCCAUUUUGAAGAAGGUAUUUGUAAAAAGGCUUCAGAGGCUUUUGUCUAUGAUUUCAUCCGCUAAGAUACUUUACUCGUAGUUUAUAUUUAUAUUUUGCUGCUGUCUUCCUUGUUUGGGGUUUUUUUGGCUCAGUGGGAUCAUAAUGCCAAUUAAAAUUAGUUAAGAGAGAAAAUGUCAGGUUUUCCAAAUACAGCAUAAUUGUUCUUAAAAAACUGUUCUCUCAUUACCUAUCAAAUCCAGGGUUUUUUUUUGCAAUAAACGUGCAUUUCAGAGAUCUUUCCCA